rnacentral:lncRNA from 1 species
GAUUUUAGGAUAGACAUUUUAGAUUAGAUCUAAAGCAUAUUUUUUAGAUUAAAUUAUUUAAUCUGAUCUGUCUUUCGCUUUAAAAAUUUUAAAAAAUAUGCUAGAAAUGCCUGUCAGUUUCCUUCAGUGGUAUCAAAGCCUAGAUUCAUUAUGAUAGGAUAUUUUUGUAUGUAUAGAUAUGAUUUUUAUUAUUUAGAUUAGAUCUAAAUGAUGUUUAUGCUUAGAUCUAAUUUUAAUCAGUCUUAUUUAUGAUAGAUUAGAUGAUCCGAUUAGCAAGUAC